rnacentral:lncRNA from 1 species
ACCAUUGAAGGCACUGGUUAUUUUACCAAGGCUUUGACUGGAAUGGCAUGGUUUCAGUUAUAAACAGACUGCUUUAAGGAAUCAAAGUUGACUUACAGAGCUGAUAAAAGGCCCCUAAGAAAAACUGGCCUCACCUCUUGUCUAUAUAGUCCCUAUAUAGGUUUCCUGACCUGUGUUUUUUGACUUGGACUCAAUAAAAUUGCUGCUACCUUUUUACUGAGGCCUUACAAGCUAAAGCUUAUUCCUUGAGACACAGAAGUUCCAGGGAUUGAAUCUUGAGACAAUCUGGGUGCCUAUGGAAUUAUCUCCCACCAGAAGAUUACUUCAAGGCAGCAGCUAAUUUACAACCUGGUCAAGCCUGAGAUGGUGUCAACCCAUUCUCAAGAUGGGACAAUAACUCAAGAUAAGUCAUCAAAACAAGCCACGUAGACCAGCACCACCUCUCACGCCCCCACCCACCACCCCCCACCCACCACAUAUCCUCCAUACCAAACUUCCCCUUCUUAAACCCUAGCAUUUUGCCCAAGAAUUUUGAAGCAGUUUCAUUAAGGCAGGAGCCUGAACCACUUCCCCACUGUUAGCUUUGGAAAAUGAAGUCAAUUUCCUUAUACUGAACCUUGUCCUUGUUAUUUAGUUUUGCAAGUGGUGAGCAGCUGAACCUACAUUUGGUUGCAGUCUUAUUUCUCAAUUGGGGCAGUGUCUGUUUCGUCUCUCAACUGGGGCAGCACAGCGUUAAAGCUAGUGAAUUAAUUUCUUUUAUGGAGAAGUUCUUCCCUUACCCUUUAUUUUGUAAGGUAUUAGUAAUAGACCAGUGAUGGUUAUUAUGUUUAGUCAUACUAGUGUUAAGUACCAAUAACUGUGCUGGGGAAACAUGGAUAUAUAAUAUUUCUGAUAUUCUAUCCAAUCUUGCCCUUGAAGAGAUUUCCACCAUGGGAAAUCCAGAACUACUGGAAAGGGACAUGAGACCACAUACCCAAUGAGCAUCCUUUUGUAACCUAUUAGCAUAGUGUUGGGCCCAUUGCAAAAAGAGGUUGCUUUAUGGGCAACAAGUGGUAUAGUAGUACCAAGGCAUGAGAACUAAGGAGAAAAAAAAAAGAAGUUGGGUGGAAGCUUGUAAAAUAAAAUAUUCUCCAUCUAUUAACAAUUGUUAAUAUUAAGCAUUAAUUUAGAUACAGACCUGGUCCAGGUCUUGGGACACCCAACCAUGUCUGCGACCAUCUUCUUCUCAAUUGGCAUCGCCUUAUUUUAAGUAGAAGAUUACUCUCUGGUGAAACAGUCUAUUCAGGAGGCUCAGCUUUCCUUAGAUGUGAGACGUGAAUCCAGGAGUCUAUGCCUUCUAGUUUAGCAGCACAAGAAUUAGUAAGAAGUACCUGGUAAGGUCCGCUGUAUCCUGGUUGGAGACAAUCUUUUAAGAAAUGUUUCCAAUAGACAAAAUCUCCAGGUUCAAGUCUGUGGUUCUUUAGAUUUAUGUUUCCAAGAAGCUUUCUGUGAAAAGAUUAUUUUACUAAGUCACAA